ACACAUUCCAGGCAAUCAGCAGCAGACCCUCCCUCCCAGACCCUCCCACCUCCUGGACAGCAUCCAUUUUACAUUCAUUGUGAAGCUGCAUUCUUAGUGAGCUGUCCAGGAGGUGGGAGGGUCUGGGAGGGAGGGUCUGCUGCUGAUUGGCAGGAAUGU